rnacentral:rRNA from 1 species
ACGUUGCUCGGAAUCAUUGGGCGUAAAGCGCACGUAGGCGGCUCGGUAAGUCGGAUGUGAAAGCCCUGGGCUCAACCUAGGAAGUGCAUUCGAAACUGCCGAGCUUGAAUAUGGAAGAGGGUCGCGGAAUUCCCGGUGUAGAGGUGAAAUUCGUAGAUAUCGGGAGGAACACCAGUGGCGAAGGCGGCGACCUGGGCCAAUAUUGACGCUGAGGUGCGAAAGCGUG